rfam:Lactobacillus floricola DSM 23037 = JCM 16512 strain DSM 23037 NODE_53, whole genome shotgun sequence.
CUGUAGUUAUGAUUUCUACCUAAGACUCGGGUGAUAGAUUAUCUAUCUUAAUUUCCCGCUGAGGCCAGAAAAUGAUGUGAGUUUUGACUCCAUACUUUUUUGGUAUGGAGUCUUUCUAAUAUGGUA